rnacentral:rRNA from 1 species
UCCUACGGGGCGCAGCAGUGGGGAAUAUUGGGCAAUGGGCGCAAGCCUUACCCAGCAAUACCGCGUGAGUGAAGAAGGUCUUCGGAUUGUAAAGCUCUUUGAUCAGGGACGAACAGAUGACGGUACCUGAAGAACAAGCCCCGGCUAACUACGUGCCAGCAGCCGCGGUAAAACGUAGGGGGCGAGCGUUGUCCGGAAUGACUGGGCGUAAAGGGUGCGUAGGCGGCAUGGCAAGUCAGAUGUGAAAGCCCGGGGCUCAACCCCGGGACUGCAUUUGAAACUGUCAGGCUGGAGUGCAGGAGAGG